AUUGCUGUUUGGGUCUUUUCGAAGAAUAUGUGUUUUGCUGAGAUGAUAAUGCGUAUAUUGUUUUUCGUGACGAGGGUUUCGUUUUGUCAGUAGGGAAACAACUCUUUAGGCGGUUUUUUGCGACGUCUCGCAGUGCCGAAGGUUGAUUUUUUCCCUAACGACUGGUUUAUUUUCGAGUUUUUUCAGGACUCGAAUAAAAUAUGCGAAUGAAGAUGAUUCGCUCGGUUAAAAAGUUACAGAAAUAUCGAGGGUGUGGUCAGAUAUUUUGAAAUUGAGAGUAUAUGUACCCACUUCCCCCCUUUUUAGUGAGGGCGGACAGCUGAAUUCAUCUUUCGACAAACUGCCUACAUACUCUUUAUGGAGAUCAAGCCGUCUCGUAGUUCGGUAGUUGUAAAGUGGCCCGUUUAGUGAUAGUAUUUUUUGAGAUGCAUUGCGUUCCAGGUUCUAAGAAUUUUUACGCCUUGCGUGUUGGCUAUCUCGUAGGAACCUAGUCGAACGACUUUUACGAUCUUGUAGGGUCCUUCCCAGUUUGCUCCAAGUUUUCCCGCGUUUCGCUCGACGGUGUUUUGGAAGACUUUG
rnacentral:lncRNA from 1 species